rnacentral:tmRNA from 1 species
GCUUAGGUCAUACUACCUAGCUUAAGUUUUAGUCAUCUUUGGUAGUGUAGUUUUAAGGCUUGACGCACCUUAAAGCGAAGUUUAGUCUAGUCAAAUUUGUAAGUUUUGGAAGAUGAGCGGAAUUUGAUGAAAAAGUCAUCUUUGCUAAGUAUGUAGAGGUCUUUUUUGGGCUAUUUUUGGACAGGGGUUCAAUUCCCCUCGUCUCCACCA